rnacentral:rRNA from 1 species
UUUGAUGGCGACCGGCGCACGGGUGAGUAACACGUAUCCAACCUGCCGAUGACUCGGGGAUAGCCUUUCGAAAGAAAGAUUAAUACCCGAUGGCAUAGUUCUUCCGCAUGGUAGAACUAUUAAAGAAUUUCGGUCAUCGAUGGGGAUGCGUUCCAUUAGGUUGUUGGCGGGGUAACGGCCCACCAAGCCUUCGAUGGAUAGGGGUUCUGAGAGGAAGGUCCCCCACAUUGGACUGAGACACGGCCAA